GGGAGAUUGGUGGAAUUGGCAUACACGAAGGUCUCAAAAACCUUUGAGUUAAUUCUCGUAUGGGUUCAAGUCCCAUAUCUCCCACCA
rnacentral:tRNA from 1 species